CCUACGGGAUGCAGCAGUGGGGACUAUUGCACAAUGGGGGAAACCCUGAUGCCGCGACGCCGCGUGAAGGAAGAAGUAUUUCGGUAUGUAAACUUCUAUCAGCAGGGCAGAACAUGACGGUACCUGACUAAGAACCCCCUGCUAACUACUUGCCAGCAUCCGCUGUAAUACGUAGGGGGCAAGCGUUAUCCGGAUUUACUGGGGGUAAAGGGAGCGUAGGCGGUGCAGCAAGUCAGAAGUGAAAGCCACGGGCUCAACUCCGGGACCGCUUUUGAAACUGUUGAACUAGAUUGCAGGAGAGGUAAGUGGAAUUCCUAGUGUAGCGGUGAAAGGCGUAGAUAUUAGGAGGAACACCAGUGGCGAAGGCGGCUUACUGGACUGUAAAUGACGCUGAGGCUCGAAAGCGUGGGGAGCAAACAGGAUUAGAUACCCGAGUAGUC
rnacentral:rRNA from 1 species